rnacentral:lncRNA from 1 species
GUGGAGUUGGCAUGAUUUGUGUUUGCAAGAAGACGAUUACUUAUUGCCUCUCUGUUAUAGAGGUGUUGUUGCUACAAUAGUGUUUCUUUCUCAAGCACUGUCAUAUCAUUAUAUAUCCUGCAGCUUUUGACAUUCUUAUCAUGAGCUUCUUUCACCGUGUGUGGGCUUCUUCUUUUUUUCUGUAAAAAAUUCAUCAAUAUGAGCAUUCAUUUUUGUCCAAGAGUCAAUACUAUAAUCCUACUGAAAACCUAUAACAUUAUGAUUAUUCUUUUUUAUUAUGCAUAAAGGAACAUUCACAACACCACAAAAUAUAACCAGUGUAGUCAACUUCUCAUAUUAUUUAUUAUAUAUAAAAAAAAAUAGAUAGCACCUACAUAGAAAAAUAGCAAAUAAUCAUAAGAAUAUUCGUUUUUUUUUUCCAGAAUUAAGUAAUUAGAACACGCAAAUGAAAAUGCUCAUGAGGAAAGAGUAGAGUAAUUAGCAGAGGAAAGAAUAAACCAAUAAGUUCAACAAAGGUAAAGCAACAGAAUAAAAAUUAAAACUGAAAAAUAUCAGAUUUGAACCAGAAAUUUUGGAUCAGAAGUUUCAAAAGAAAUACACCUUUUAGUUUUUGAUCGAAAAAAGGAAGAAAGUUACCAACUUCAGUGUCAAUAAAUUAAAUCUCAAUUCAGAUUAUUUUCAUUUUCCUCGGCUGCAAUUUUGACAAUAUCGUAAUGAAAUUUCCAGCGGUUGGAUCAACACUUGAUG